rnacentral:rRNA from 1 species
GACCCCAGGUCAGCGGGGCCACCCGCUGAGUUUAAGCAUAUCAUAAGCCGGAGGAAAUUGUCGAGACGCACGGACGACUGUGAACUCGUUAACCGGCCCGGAAGAGCUGAGGGAGGGGUACUAGUCCGCUUGCCCAGCUCUUGGGCUCUAUGGCGCCCCCGAUCCUACGUCGAUGCAGACGGAGGCGGACAUUACCGCCAAUUGGGGCCAAGACUAUUCCUUUUUA